GAUUGGUGAUUCUUUAUCGACUAGUUUGUAAGCUUGUUCUGCAAGUUGUGCGAUUAGUCCAUUACCUCGCUGUGCGAGUUGAGCUGUUAAUUCAUUAUCUCUGUCAUGAGGUAUAAGAGUUGAUAUAAGAUUGAUUGAGGCGAUUGCUGCGAGUGGAGUGUUGUGUUCUUAGGCUUGUACUACAUCAAAUGCUCUUUCAAGGUUCAUGAUAGGGAUGUUUGUGGCUAGUAGUUGUCGACGUUCAGCCCGAGUAACAUUUUCGUGCCCUUCUUUGGUUUCUUUGCUUAGAAGUUUCAUCUUGCGGGGCGUUAGCUGAUGACUUAUCCUCUGAAACAUUAUCGAGUUGUGCUAUCCAUCGAGGGGUUCUUUGUUGGCUAGUACCCACAUCAUUGUUUUGAGUGAUGACGAAAAUUUCUUUGUCUGGGUAGUAGCUUCCAGAGCUUCAUGUUGCAAUUUCUGUAGUGCUUUCCUCGCGGUUUGAAGUGAGCGGGAUGCCUUCUUGAUAUGGGAGGUUGUCUCUGUGAGCGACAAGGCAUGACUCGUAGUCAUGGGCAAGAAAAGAUGGUUUCAUCCCCGGGGUGAAGUAACUACCAGACCUUGAGCUGGGCCUGAUAAUGGAAUUUCUUGGACAUAACCUGAGUCGAGGUUGCAGUCCUGAACUUUCCCGUGUUCAAGUUGGGUUCGAGUAAUAAGACCUUGGUGGACUUCGGCUGUGUUGCGGAGUCCGUACGGGAAUCGUCUUUGAGUAAAAGUCGACUUGCGAGGUAAUUGGGGCUCCAGCUUGUGCCGACUAGUCUGAGUUGAGGUCGAGUCCGAGCCGUAGUCGAACUCAUUGUUGUUGACUUUGAAAACUUGGUUUUUCUCGGUGAAAUCUUCCGUUUCCU
rnacentral:lncRNA from 1 species